UGUGAGAGACAUAUCUGGAGAUAAGUUAUUUAUUGUAGAGAAGCCUGCCGCCUUUCGUCAUCUCGUCGAAGAGCCCGUUGAUGGCUUCGUACCUCCUUGCUUCCUCACAAGCUCAAUCCGCAGAGCCCAGGUCUUGUUAAUCUCGAUGCCGGGACAAAACAAAAAUCCAAGCACUUAUUAUGAAUAUCAAAAUAAUGAGCGAUGUAGGCAUAUAUAAGCACUAUAUUCAUAUAAAAAAUCUAAGCACUUAUUAUGUUGCUAUUUGUGACGCCUUUCUUAUUUUAGCAAGAAAAUAAUGGUCCCCUCAUAUUAUUAAGUUGUAACUUUCGCAACCAUUAAAAACAUAGAUAAUUAAAGAUAUCAACUAAUUUGCUGUUAACAUGAAAUAAACAAUGCUCCAAAUCAAUGUGUACCUGUCUUAUACCUCGUCAACAAAUUGAACUCGUUGACAUGUCCCCAUUUUUAUCUCCGUUGUUGCAGUUGUUUGGUCCAAUGUCUCCAUGUAUCGCACUUACUAAUCAAAAGAGAAAGUUUGUCCGUCUUCAUAGUUCAUACCGAGUAUCAAUCAAAAGAUAAAGCAUGCACUGGAGUACUCAACAUCGUUAUUCCUGAGGGCACAUAUAUCUGCAUACCCAGAUUUCUAGCUAGUUAUCUAAGAUAGUAAAGUGACACUUGUACAAGGUAACAAAAAUCAAGCACACAAGGAGACUCAAAAGAAAGCUCUGGCCGACCAGUGGUCCGUACAUUUUGUGGUCUCAUGCCGGUUAGUAUUUUACUGUCUAGAUCCUUGAUUCUCUUGUCAUCCUGUUUUGGAAUAGCUUUAUGUUAAGAUUUCUUCUAUUCAUAGUUUGGUACGUAGUUGCGUACCCAAUUUUUUAUAGAAAAACCAAGCUAUUAUUUCAACCAUAUAACUAAGGGGAACACACCUAUGAAAUUCAUUGAUAACAGGAACAACAAAGAUUUUAAACAAAUGUCAUCAAAGAAAUAAAAAAGUGCAGCUAGGUAAUUCAAGCAUGGUAAAAAUACAAAUGCUUUAUUAAUAUAAUAUUUUCUAAUAAAUUCACAAAGGCAUCAUGAUUCUAAACAACAAUAUAUCUCCCGUUUCUGCUUUCAUUGAUCAUUGCCAAGUGACAGCAGCACAAACGUUGAAGCGACUUUCAGCCUCCAAUCAAACAUGAACAUGGGUUGAGAUUCUUUCUGAAUCAAUAUGAUUGUUCAUAUCAGUACAAAAUAAUCUUGCAUUCAGUAGAAGCGUGUAUGUUAAUGGUAAAAGAACUACAAGAUGAAUUAGCGGAUAUGGAUGAAUAAAGUACCUGGAGCCGAGGUUGACCGUGACAUGGUGUGGGAAGAGCAUGAAUCUAGUGAAUCAUCCAUCAACUUGCAUUUAGACAUGACCGAAGCUAAAUGUAAUGAACCAGGAACGGUAAAUUUGACUAAUCUUGUCCGUACAAAUCCACAAAAAGAAACACUGCAAAAUAGAAGAAAUGAAAAUAUCAAGGGUGGAUAAAAUGGUAGGAUCACAUCAUAGAAAGGAAAAUCCAACAAUAGACAUCACUAAAAAUCCCUAACUUGCAAGACUAAAAAGAUAUGGAUGAAUCUUCCAGAAUGUUAUGAAUUGAUGUUUUCUACCUGGGAAAGAAACUUGCAAUGGGGACGAAAGCACAAGACAACGAGGGUAAAGAAACUUGAUGUGAUGGCGGGAUGCUUAAUUCUGUAUAGAUAUUGGACUUAACGAUCGAAGAAUCAUAUUGGAAGAUUUAACCUCACACGCCUGACGCCACUGGCCAUGUAUGCCUCAGUCACUCUGUGUGCUAUGUAAUUGUGAACAUGUCUAGAGAAUAAACAAAACAAGGAAAUAAGAUCACGUGAAUGAAGAGACAAUUAUUGUUCUCUCGUGAUUGCUCUCGAAGCAAUAGCGGUAGCAAGCACGAGCAGAACAAAACAUUAUGAAGUGCAAAUUAUACAUGUCCCUUCUUUGAACAGUAGCAACAGCAGCUAGGAAAGCAUUACUGAGCCUUCCUCUCUCCCUCCUCUCCGAUUUCUGCAACUGCCACCGUCGUCAGCACCUCAUCCAGCAACGAUCUGAAUCCCUUUUUUCUCCUCACGUCCCCAUCCCCUGUAAGAUAUGGUGACUCUCUCGCAUUCAAGAUCUGCAAAAAAUCAUGUAAUGCAUAAAUCUGAUGCAUCGAUCCAGUGAUCAAAGAAACCAUUUUAGCUGGAAAUUCAAUUGGAUCAUUCCAGAGAAAGGAGUAGCGCGAGAUCCACAGUGGCAUGGGGAUGGCAACGCCUUGGGGAGAGAGAGGGAGUAGCACGCGCCACACCUCGUCUUCAUGCCGCCUCCUUCUAUGAUGCGACGGCAGGGGCCGAGCAAGGCAGAGCGGAGCGGCGUG
rnacentral:lncRNA from 1 species